CCUACGGGUGGCUGCAGUGGGGAAUAUUGCACAAUGGGCGAAAGCCUGAUGCAGCGACGCCGCGUGAGUGAAGAAGUAUUUCGGUUUGUAAAGCUCUAUCAGCAGGGAAGAUAAUGACAGUACCUGACUAAGAAGCCCCGGCUAACUACGUGCCAGCAGCCGCGGUAAUACGUAGGUGGCGAGCGUUGUCCGGAUUUACUGGGCGUAAAGGGAGCGUAGGUGGCUAGGUAAGUCAGGUGUGAAAGCCCGGGGCUCAACCCCGGGAUUGCACUUGAAACUACUUAGCUAGAGUGCAGGAGAGGUAAGUGGAAUUCCUAGUGUAGCGGUGAAAUGCGUAGAUAUCAGGAGGAACACCGGUGGCGAAGGCGGCCUGCUGGACUGCAACUGACGUUGAGGCCCGAAAGCGUGGGGAGCAAACAGGAUUAGAUACCGAGUAG
rnacentral:rRNA from 1 species